UUGUCCAUGGUUACUAUAGCCUGAAGGACCAUCCACGGCAAGUCGAAUCUCGAAUGGCAUGUAUUUAUAUGGAUUUGAGGCGAACCAACUGAUUCUACCUUGUUGUCAUAUCAUUAGAGUGUAUGUUUUGGAAGGGUUGAGCAGCGAUAGAGGUUUCUUUAGUCCUAGUGAGGUGGUGGUGGUGUCCCUGAUGAGGUUUGUCGCCUGCAUCUUCUUUUCCGUAAGCCAUCUUGCCAAAUUGGGUUUCAGAGUUCCGCCAUGAAAGGUUUCGUUCUUUUCUAUGGUCACCGCAUAUCAUGCGGAAGUUCAUGAAGCGGCUGCGUGAUAUGAGGUUGUGGCCCUCUUGAUCUUGUUUCAGUUUUCUCUUUCCAUAUAGGUAUCUCAUGUGAGGUUGGGGCUUGUUGUCUUCGGUGUCUAACUUAAACUGCACAAGCUUCCAAUGAAACCUUUUGGACAAUGCACACUGUAUUCCGUGA